CCUACGGGUGGCAGCAGUGGGGAAUAUUGCACAAUGGGGGAAACCCUGAUGCAGCAACGCCGCGUGAGUGAGGAAGUAUUUCGGUAUGUAAAGCUCUAUCAGCAGGGAAGAGAAUGACGGUAACUAACGAAGAAGCACCGGCUAACUCCGUGCCAGCAGCCGCGGUAAUACGGAGGGUGCAAGCGUUACUCGGAAUUACUGGGCGUAAAGGGAGCGUAGGCGGGAUAGCAAGUCAGAUGUGAAAUCCCAUGGCUUAACCAUGGAACUGCAUUUGAAACUGUUAAUCUAGAGUACGGGAGAGGUAAGAGGAAUUCCUAGUGUAGCGGUGAAAUGCGUAGAGAUUAGGAGGAACACUAGUUGCGAAGGCGACCUACUGGACCGUAACUGACGUUGAUGCGCGAAAGCGUGGGGAGCAAACAGGAUUAGAUACCCCGGUAGUC
rnacentral:rRNA from 1 species